AAUAGCAGCCGCCCUAGGCUGGAUUGUGAAUUCAUGCAUAGAACCAGACCUGCUCUACACCUAAUGCCAAAAAAAUCCUGCAAAGUUCUCCUCUGCUACACAGCAACACAAAAAGCCCUCCUAGUCCAUCACCUGUUGCUCAAGCAGAACAAGGCAAGCCAGAGUGGUGACACUGAUCCCAAGUGAGUCCAGCCAAGCCAAGUGGAGCCCAGCAGGGUGGUAGGAAGAAGCAGCAAAGUGGCAGAUCCCAUUCCCACACACAUGCCCAGCGUGGCAGACUGAUGGCAGCGGCAGUGCCAAACAGAGCUCUGCAGGGACAGAGAGACACCCAUCACCAUCGCCACUGCCACCAUCCCUGCUGCAGAGAGGGAGCAGGAAACUGCCACUGCAGGUGCACAGCUGCUUCAGGUAGCACCAGGAGCCCCCAUCUACCAUCAGAACCAUUCUGUAAGCCCUCGCCAUUGCGUCUUUGUUCCAGGGGCCCCAUGUGACACUUCACCUUUGUUGCUUAAGCCAUUACCCCUUUUGCACAAUUUUCUUCUUAUUGUUGUGCACUGCUUUUUAUUUCCUCACUACAUUGUAACUCUAAUAGUUUUAACCUCUCAUCUAUUGGUUUUUUCCAUUGUCCCUCUCCAUUGUCAUGGAGAAGGGGAGAGAGGAGAGGUUUUACAAGGACCACCUCAAGAAGAAGACAUAGAAUAGAGGGAAGGCCUUAGAAAGAAUAAACAAACCUCAUGCUGCCGCUUUUGGAAGGAAUAAAUAUCCAAGUUUCUUAAUAUCCAGCCGCAAAUAUGUGGGCUAUUGAAAGCCAAGAAGCACAGGAACCUGGACACCUUGCUGUGAGAGACUAGAGGAGAUUGCUGGCUCAACACUUUUCAGGGGCUUAUAUGUAGGGAAGGGGGCAGAUCAAGCCUUGCUCUGGUGAGGCCAUGCCCCACUCGGCAUGCCCCACACCCCCAGGCCUGUAUCCCAGCCCAGCAGCGGCCACUGAUCCCUGGCACACCAGAGGCAAUGCUCCACACCUGUGUCUGGAGCCCCUAACCCAGCUCCUAAAUGGCCAGGUUAAUGUGGAGGAUUUUGUGGACAGUUAGCUACCUGACAAAGGUCACACUGAUAUAAUACCAUCAGUUAAGCAAGAAGGAGACGAGGAUGGGAGUCAGCAGUCAGUGUCCAAACCUGGCAAGGGCACUGUGCCCUUGGUGCAACAUCAGGAUGGGGGAGAGGAUCGUUAGUUAGAAAUAUGAAGAAAAGAUGAGAACAGCUGCAACACAGUAGUCACAAGAAUGCUAAGAGCAGUGUCCCUGGUAUGGCAGCAAGGCUGUUUGUUCCUGAAUUAGUCAACCAUCCUGGCAGGACCAUGUACCUAAUGACUACAAUAGCAAGUAUGGCUUUGAGUGCCAGAGGGGUAAGAGACCAAGAAAGAAAAGAGAGCCAUGUCCUGUCCACUAAGGACCUCUCUAACAUCACACACAUAGAAAAAAUGCUACCUCAUGCUUGGAAAAGAAAUUUUGGUUCCAGACUUCAGUCCAAAUUUGCACAAUAGAAUGUUACAGAAUGUGUAGAUCCGAAAAAAACCCAUGUUACCUAAAACUGAAAAGAUCUCAAAAGGAUGGUUGGCUACCUCUAACUUAAGUUUGCCUACAUGGUGCUAUGAAUCCUUAUCAUACUGUCAAUGCAGUGGGUAAUUGAAAUAAGAUAAUUUUUCCAAAUUAGUUUUAUUAGUGAUUGUCGCUUUCUUGAUGUCUUCUAAAUUUCUUUUCACAGACUUUUCUUGUUGGUUUGAUCACCAAACUUUCUAUGGCAGAGAACACAGAAAAUACCAAGUAGGUAGAUCCUCUGUAUGAAGUAGUGUCCUAGGUUACAAUAUAAAGAGGUAUUCUAUUCUCAUCCUUAAGACCUGUUGAAACCAGGAGGGGCAUUGUUUUUUCCUUAUCUCCUGUUAUUGGGCCCAUCAAUGCCUUUCCCAUGACUCAGAGAAAACUCCCUCCAGGAGCCAUUUCUGUUUAAUGGACCCACCACAUGACUCACAGAAUGAUAACAGCCCACUGUGAGAUGCUCCACCCAGGGGUGAGCAGCUAAGCAUCCCCACCUGCAUAGAAUCUGAGAUUUGGGACACAACAAGCACUCUUUCCACUGGAUUCCCAGAGGAAUGGCCGUCUUUUCCACUGGAUCUUCAGAGGAAGACUACGCCCUUUCUAGAGGAUCACUGUUCCAACAGAGCCACAUUUCCCACUCCAGGAGGACUGCCUGGUCCAGUCCAACUGGACUGCUAUCAACACCCUGACCAACAGGGUGUCAGGUUGUAUUGUGACUUUGUCCGUGGUUUUUCCUUUGUAUUAUUGCAUGUAAUUUUAGUUUUCCUUUUCUCUUUUCCUA